UGGGGGAUAUUGCACAAUGGGCGAAAGCCUGAUGCAGCGACGCCGCGUGGGGGAUGAAGGCUUUCGGGUUGUAAACCUCUUUCGCUAUCGAACAAGGCCCGCUUAGGGUGGGUUGAGGGUAGGUGGAGAAGAAGCGCCGGCUAACUACGUGCCAGCAGCCGCGGUAAUACGUAGGGCGCGAGCCUUGUCCGGAAUUAUUGGGCGUAAAGGGCUUGUAGGCGGCUUGUUGCGCCUGCUGUGAAAACGCGGGGCUUAACUUCGCGCGUGCAGUGGGUACGGGCAGGCUUGAGUGUGGUAGGGGUGACUGGAAUUCCAGGUGUAGCGGUGGAAUGCGCAGAUAUCUGGAGGAACACCGAUGGCGAAGGCAGGUCACUGGGCCAUUACUGACGCUGAGGAGUGAAAGCAUGGGUAGCGAACAGG
rnacentral:rRNA from 1 species